rnacentral:rRNA from 1 species
CCUACGGGAGGCAGCAGUGGGGAAUAUUGGACAAUGGGGGAAACCCUGAUCCAGCGACGCCGCGUGAGUGAAGAAGUAUUUCGGUAUGUAAAGCCCUAUCAGCAGGGAAGAAAAUGACGGUACCUGACCAAGAAGCCCCGGCUAACUACGUGCCAGCAGCCGCGGUAAUACGUAGGGGGCAAGCGUUAUCCGGAUUUACUGGGUGUAAAGGGAGCGUAGACGGCAGCGCAAGUCUGGAGUGAAAGGCCGGGGCUCAACCCCGGAACUGCGCUGGAAACGGGGUAGCUGGAGUGCAGGAGAGGUAAGCGGAAUUCCUGGUGUAGCGGUGAAAUGCGUAGAUAUCAGGAGGAACACCGGCGGCGAAGGCGGCUUACUGGACUGUAACUGACGUUGAGGCUCGAAGGCGUGGGGAGCAAACAGGAUUAGAUACCCUAGUAGUC